GGUGGCAUAAUGGUUAAAGCGUUUGGCUGUUAACCAAAAGGUUGGUGAUUUGAAUCCACCAUCCA
rnacentral:tRNA from 1 species